rnacentral:lncRNA from 1 species
AUAGAACUCUUUUCCCCCUACCCCCAAAACGAAAGUAGAAUAGCUCAGCAAAUCACUCCCAUUUCUUUCUUAUUUUCCCGGCGUCUUAAUUAUCACCAGCGGGAUGGACAGGAAGAAAAGUCUGGAAGACACAUUUAGGAACUUUGUCAUCGAUGCAGUUGUUUCCUGAUAACGGAUGGAGUGCCUGCUGUAUUGAGAUUAUGGGUGUGGGCCACAGUGCCCAGCCAGAUGUAUCUUCUAAUCCACCAAGGGAAUCUGAACUGUUAAUUAAUUGUUAAUUGUUAAAACAUUGCUGGGUGAAUAAGCAGAUGUGGUUGGAAGCAUACUAUUGAUGAAAAUCACCUCAGCUAAUAGACGUAGCUCAACCAAAACAUUGGCUUACACAAUUUGCUGGAAUUCUCUGUCUUCCACUAGCGGGCUUCAGCAGAAGAUCUGAACUCUCAGCUCCUCCUGCACCAUGCCUGUCUGGAUGCUGCCAUGCUGCCACCUUGAUGAUAAUGGACUCCUGCACCAUGCCUGCCUGGAUGCUGCCAUGCUGCCACCUUGAUGAUAAUGGACUCCUGCACCAUGCCUGCCUGGAUGCUGCCAUGCUGCCACCUUGAUGAUAAUGGACUCCUGCGCCAUGCCUGUCUGGAUGCUGCCAUGCUGCCACCUUGAUGAUAAUGGACUC